UACGUAGGAGGCAAGCGUUGUCCGGAAUUACUGGGCGUAAAGCGCGUGUAGGUGGUGGGACAAGUCUGCUGUGAAAGCGCCUGGCUUAACCGGGCGAGGUCGGCGGAAACUGUCCGACUCGAGGACGGUAGAGGGGGGUGGAAUUCCCGGUGUAGUGGUGAAAUGCGUAGAGAUCGGGAGGAACACCUGUGGCGAAGGCGGCCCCCUGGCCGGCCCUGACACUGAGACGCGAAGGCGUGGGGGAGCGAACGGGG
rnacentral:rRNA from 1 species